GGGGCAAUACUUUAAAUAUAAAAGAGCUGAUUUGCAUUUAGUCAAUAGGAGAUUUCCUUUAUCCCA
rnacentral:tRNA from 1 species